rnacentral:rRNA from 1 species
UGGUGGAGUGAUUUGUCUGGUUAAUUCCGUUAACGAACGAGACCUCGACCUGCUUUUUAGUCGGGCCCAGCCUCCGGGCUGGGUCUUCCGGCUUCUUAGAGGGACUAUCGGUGGUUAGCCGGUGGAAGUUCGAGGCAAUAACA